UCCUUGUGACUAGCCGGGAGGGAGAAGGGGUGACAGGCGCCAUUUUCCCCACAGGGGCUAGGAGGUGGCCUUGGCUCUCCCGGUGGGCUUGCUGGAGUGCGUUCUGGAGACUGGUUGGGCCUUGCCUAGCGACUGCCGAGUGUCGCCCCGUUGGGAGGGAGGUUGUGGGGAGGGCUAGUACAGAAUAAGACGCCUGACCGCUCCCUGGGGGCUCUCGGUGCCAGUUGAGGCCUUUGGUUUCGGGCGACGGCUUUGUUUUCCAAGAGCUGCUGUGUGCCGGUCCCUGGCUGCUAGGCCUGCCUGCGCUUCUCAAGUCGCCGGGGCAUCAUCAUUCGGUGGGAGAGUGGGCCUCCUGCCCUUGCCGAAACUGCGAGGGAGCUCGGCAACGAACGGGGCGGUAGUCCUAGACUCUGCUGGGAGACCCUUCGGAUGCUUUUGCGCUUUCAUGUUGUUUAGGUUAAAAAUCUGAAGUCUGUAUUGGUGUCGCUACCCUCGUUUUUUACUUUCCCUUUUGUAUGUGUUGCUAAUUAAAGGAAGGUUGAAAGGGUGGGAAAAACAUUGACUUGGGCUCCCCCAAACCGUUAAGAAUGGAUACAAAUUAGUUGUGAAGUUUAGGUCAUAGUUUCUUGUAGCUUUCAACCCAGACAUUUUCUAAACUAUUGGAAAUACUAGUGUUUUCAGGAGUAUUCAGUGUUUAUUUGCUUUGACAAAGCUGCGUAAAGAUGAGAUGGUGUGAAGACUCAAGAUGUGUUAAACCGAGCAUUAUAGAUGUAGAAUGAGGGGGUUACUAAGAGAAUAAGGUGACUGAUAGAUUUUUAACACUUUUGUGACCUUAGAAAAACUGGAGAGAGCUGUAUGGUGUUUCAUUUAGUGUCUUGGAUUUCAAAUGGUGAUUAUGGCUAAAGGAUUAAAGCAAAAGGAUGUUAGAGUGUUAGAGGUAGCUAGCCUGUGGAUUCUAGUUUGAGACAUUAACGUUACAUUCUUUUUGGCGGGGUGUGGAGGCCGACUCACCGGCCCGCCGGGUUACCUAACCAAGGCACAGUUGCAUAAUCGGUGCCCAAACUCCAUUAGAAGUACCCAAAACUUUCUGGAGAACUGGUUGAUUUUCUCAUAUCAAGCCCCAUGUUGGACUGCAGCCUGGGUGUGAAGCAUGCUU